UUCGGGGCUGGGAUCCUCUCAAGGGAGAGCCCAAGGCUGGUGUUCCUCAAAGGCACACCCCAUCCCCACUCCAACAUGGCUUAUCCAAGGGAGUGGUCAGGGCUCCUCCUAGGGUGUGCAGGGCCCACAUAGAUGCAAGUCUUGAAGCUCCUCAGGGCAUUUGGUUAAGGGGAUAAAUGGAUGCUAAAGUCCACGAAGAUCAAGCCUGAGUUCAGGGUGCCCCACCUAGAUGGCACAGGCAGCCUGGCCAGUCCCAGCCAUGGGAGGGGGCUUAGGAAAUUUCCAGGCACUCCAAAGCAUGGGGCUCCACUGAGGAGCAGGGUCUAAGGGUGGUUCUGGCUAUGGUCGUCCCAGGGUGUGAUCAGGGUAUCAGGGUGCUCUGCGAGGCCUUCCCUGAUCAAGCCUCACACUCCAGUUUCCUGUCUCAUCUCCUUCUCCUGCUCUCCUUCCUGUAGGUUCUGUGUUACCUGCAAGUCCCACUGUCUGGCUGAAUUCUCAGUCUAUCGGCUUUCUAGCUUAUAGCUGUGCUGCAUAAAGUCACAGCCUCAUUUCCAUUCCUCCUCUGGAUGAAUGGUACCUCCUCUCCUCCCCUCCCCUUCCCUCCCUUCCCCUCUACUCCUCUCCCCUCCCUCUCCAUCCCCAUCUCACGUUCUUCUCGUGACUCCUCUCUCUUUCAUUCUCCCUCCCCCUCUUUCACCUUCCUUCUUUCCUCCCUCAUUCAUCUCUCUUCUUUUCCCUCUAUUCUCCUCCCUUUCUGCCCCACCGGAUGCAUGCACACACAUGCCCGUGAACCUGUAACUAACAUACUUAUACACACCCUUUGAGUCCUGAAGCCCCCAGAGCCCUCUCGGCUCAGUCCCUCUCCCAGGCAGUCAGGGGGACGUGCAGACCAUAUGUGGUGCCAGGAAUAAGCAGGAGCCAGGCGGAUGUGGCGUGGCAGCCUGGUAACCAUUCGUUUCCACCUGGUCCUCAUGCUGCUAACAUGUUGGAGCAUCUCAACGCUUUAACCCUCUUGCUGCCAGCUGCACAGUCCUGUCUUCCACAGGGCUGGGAUGGGUGCAGGGGAGGUAGAGGUGAGGCAGGCUUGGUCGGCCUGAGAGGAGAAGCUCACAGUCCAGCGAGGGAGACGCACAGCAACACAGUUCCAAUCCAGCCUGAUAGAGCAGCGAUGGAGGGAGGAGGUGGAGCUGGAAUACCAAGGAGGGCACCUAGUCCAGCAUCAGGGCAGGCAAGGCUUGGCUAGGAAGUGUUGCCAGAGCUGACUGUGUACUGAUCCUGAGCUUUACAGAUUAGCUGAGGCUCUGCUAUGGAUAAACUGGCCGCGUCGUUUCCUGCUUCCAUUGCUGGCCAACUUCAAUGAAUGCUGCUGCCCCUUCCUCUCCCAAAAAUUGAUGACAGCUUGAACCAAGCUGAAAUUCAGCACACAGCUCUGGGCACUGGGCACUGGUACUCAGGAUACCUCCUCGGAGGGCUGGGGAGCCCUCUUGCCUUCCCACUAUCCUGGCUGAGAUCCCAGCAUGGCUUGACCCAAACCCUCAGUGUGUCUUGGAAAGUCUUGGAAAGUGUCUGAGGAAUGAGGUCAGCUGUGCCCACUGAAUUUUUCCCUUUCUGCACCUCAAGGCCAGGGCUUUCUCCAGCUUUCACU
rnacentral:lncRNA from 10 species